rnacentral:rRNA from 1 species
UGGAAACUGGAAAACUAGAGGGCAAAAGAGGUAAGUGGAAUUCCUAGUGUAACGGUGAAAUGCGUUAAUAUUAGGAGGAACACCCGUGGCGAAGGCGGCUAACUGGACUGUAACUGAGGUUGAGGCUCGAUAGCGUGAGGAGAAUACAGGAUUAGAUACCCUGGUAAUCCAAGCUGUAACCGAUGAAUGCUAUUGGUUGGGAAACAAAGCUCUUCGGUGCCGUCGGUGACGGAGUAAGCAUUCCACCCGGGGAGACAUUCGCAAACAUGAAACUGAAAGAAUUGACGGAGACCCGCACAAGGGGUGGAGCUUGUGGCUUAGUUCGAAGCACGCCGAAACCUUACCAAGGCGUGGCAUCCCAUGACCGGCCGUUUAUCCUUCUCUUUCUUCAGAACGCGGGUGAAGGGCGGGGCAUGCUAGCCAUCCACUAGAUUCAUGGAUAUGUUUGCUUUAUAUCCCCCAACAAACGCACC